rnacentral:tRNA from 1 species
GCCGGGGUGGUGAAAUGGCAGACACGCCAGCCUUAGGAGCUGGUGGCCGCAAGGCCGUGCGGGUUCGAAUCCCGCUCCCGGCACCA